rnacentral:rRNA from 1 species
UACGUAGGGUGCAAGCGUUGUCCGGAAUUAUUGGGCGUAAAGAGCUCGUAGGCGGUCUGUCGCGUCUGCUGUGAAAUCUCAGGGCUUAACCCUGAGCUUGCAGUGGGUACGGGCAGACUAGAGUGCGGUAGGGGAGACUGGAAUUCCUGGUGUAGCGGUGGAAUGCGCAGAUAUCAGGAGGAACACCGAUGGCGAAGGCAGGUCACUGGGCCGCAACUGACGCUGAGGAGCGAAAGCAUGGGGAGCGAACAGG